rnacentral:rRNA from 1 species
UUGAACGCUGCCGGCAGGCCUAACACAUGCAAGUCGAGCGGAAACGAUCCUAGCUUGCUAGGAGGCGUCGAGCGGCGGACGGGUGAGUAAUGCAUAGGAAUCUGCCCGGUAGUGGGGGAUAACUUGAGGAAACUCAAGCUAAUACCGCAUACGCCCUACGGGGGAAAGCAGGGGCUCUUCGGACCUUGCGCUAUCGGAUGAGCUUAUGUCGGAUUAGCUGGUUGGUGAGGUAACGGCUCACCAAGGCGACGAUCCGUAGCUGGUCUGAGAGGAUGAUCAGCCACAUCGGGACUGAGACACGGCCCGAACUCCUACGGGAGGCAGCAGUGGGGAAUAUUGGACAAUGGGGGCAACCCUGAUCCAGCCAUGCCGCGUGUGUGAAGAAGGCCCUCGGGUUGUAAAGCACUUUCAGCGAGGAAGAAUGCUUGUCGGUUAAUACCCGGCAAGGGAGACAUCACUCGCAGAAGAAGCACCGGCUAACUCCGUGCCAGCAGCCGCGGUAAUACGGAGGGUGCGAGCGUUAAUCGGAAUUACUGGGCGUAAAGCGUGCGUAGGCGG